rnacentral:rRNA from 1 species
CCUACGGGUGGCAGCAGUGGGGAAUAUUGGGCAAUGGGCGCAAGCCUGACCCAGCAACGCCGCGUGAAGGAAGAAGGCCCUCGGGUUGUAAACUUCUUUUUUCAGGGACGAAACAAAUGACGGUACCUGACGAAUAAGCCACGGCUAACUACGUGCCAGCAGCCGCGGUAAUACGUAGGUGGCAAGAGUUAUCCGGAUUUACUGGGUGUAAAGGGCGGGUAGGCGGUAGAGCAAGUCAGAUGUGAAAUUCCAGGGCUCAACCUUGGAACUGCAUUUGAAACUGUUUUUCUUGAGUGAUGGAGAGGAAAGCGGAAUUUCGUGUGUAGCGGUGAAAGGCGUAGAUAUAAGGAAGAACACCAGUGGCGAAGGCGGGCUGCUGGACAUUAACUGACGCUGAGGCGCGAAAGCGUGGGGAGCAAACAGGAUUAGAUACCCUUGUAGUC